UUUCCGACGACUUGCGCUGGAUCGUACAUGCAGUCGUGACGAGACAUGACGCGGAGCUUGCUCCCGGAUGUUAGCGGCGGACGGGUGAGUAACACGUGGGUAACCUGCCUGUAAGACUGGGAUAACUCCGGGAAACCGGAGCUAAUACCGGAUAGUUCCUUGAACCGCAUGGUUCAAGGAUGAAAGACGGUUUCGGCUGUCACUUACAGAUGGACCCGCGGCGCAUUAGCUAGUUGGUGGGGUAAUGGCUCACCAAGGCGACGAUGCGUAGCCGACCUGAGAGGGUGAUCGGCCACACUGGGACUGAGACACGGCCCAGACUCCUACGGGAGGCAGCAGUAGGGAAUCUUCCGCAAUGGACGAAAGUCUGACGGAGCAACGCCGCGUGAGUGAUGAAGGUUUUCGGAUCGUAAAGCUCUGUUGUUAGGGAAGAACAAGUGCGAGAGUAACUGCUCGCACCUUGACGGUACCUAACCAGAAAGCCACGGCUAACUACGUGCCAGCAGCCGCGGUAAUACGUAGGUGGCAAGCGUUGUCCGGAAUUAUUGGGCGUAAAGGGCUCGCAGGCGGUUUCUUAAGUCUGAUGUGAAAGCCCCCGGCUCAACCGGGGAGGGUCAUUGGAAACUGGGAAACUUGAGUGCAGAAGAGGAGAGUGGAAUUCCACGUGUAGCGGUGAAAUGCGUAGAGAUGUGGAGGAACACCAGUGGCGAAGGCGACUCUCUGGUCUGUAACUGACGCUGAGGAGCGAAAGCGUGGGGAGCGAACAGGAUUAGAUACCCUGGUAGUCCACGCCGUAAACGAUGAGUGCUAAGUGUUAGGGGGUUUCCGCCCCUUAGUGCUGCAGCUAACGCAUUAAGCACUCCGCCUGGGGAGUACGGUCGCAAGACUGAAACUCAAAGGAAUUGACGGGGGCCCGCACAAGCGGUGGAGCAUGUGGUUUAAUUCGAAGCAACGCGAAGAACCUUACCAGGUCUUGACAUCCUCUGACAACCCUAGAGAUAGGGCUUUCCCUUCGGGGACAGAGUGACAGGUGGUGCAUGGUUGUCGUCAGCUCGUGUCGUGAGAUGUUGGGUUAAGC
rnacentral:rRNA from 1 species